UACUAUACUAAAUUUUAAGACAAAACUCGAAUAUUAUUAGUUAUAAUCUCUAAAUUCAAAGAAUUUGGCGGUAACUUAGUCUACCCAGAGGAACCUGUUUUUUAAUCGAUAAACCACGAAGAAUCUUACUUAUUUUAAUUGACUAAUAGUUUGUAUACCGUCAUUAUCAGAUAAUAUCUAGAAAUUAAUUAUUUAAUCUUAAAUAGUAAAAAAAAUUAGAUCAAGGUGCAGCUUAUAAAUAAGUUAAAAUGGGUUACAAUUAAUUGAAUGUAAUAUGAAAAGAAAAUUGAAACAAUUUCUUGAAGGAGGAUUUGGUUGUAAUUAUAAUUAAUAAGAAAAAAAGAUAUAAGCUCUAAGUUAU
rnacentral:rRNA from 1 species